AUUAAAGUUUCAGCAAACAAAAGAAGUAGUGGUCAAAAGAAGUAGGAGGAGUGAUCCCAUUUUCAUUUUUCAGUAUUGACAGCUUAUUUAAACUGGUCAGGUCACAACUGUGGCAAUCUAAUUUGGUGCCUUUUCAUUUGUAUGCAUGUUCCUCUCCUGGUCUCUUUUACUUUUGUUCUUACCAGCUGAUGUUCUGCCUGCACACUUAACGCUGAUCUUGAAAUCUGUAACCAGUUUGUUUCUCUUUGCUUAGUUACAGAUAUUUUCAUUUGUGGGUGCAUAUGUGUGUGAUUGUGUUGGGUGCAUCUAGCACUUCUCUUCUUUGUAGUAUCUAAGUUUAACAAUCUUGAAUUGAAUUGUCUAUAACUAGCAGAACUCUGCCAUCCUCUAUACCUACUUUAAGGUUGAAGUAUUCUGAGCAUAAAAGUGGAAUUUGACAUAGCUUUGGAAGAUCACAUUUAUCAGGUUCUCCGUUGAACUUAGUCUUCUAAAUACUCUGCACUGGAGUUGAUUGUAAGCUAUAAUCUUGUCUGCUGGCAUUCAUCAUGAGCUCUGCAAGGUGAAACGAGAAAGUGCUUAAAAGAAAUGAUUCUUUUCCCUCACCCUUGGCUAAACGUCCACCAGUUCUUAACAUGGAAGAGGAGGAUAAAAGAUGCUCACUAGCACAGACACUGACAAGUAGACUAAUGAAGAAUCUUUGGAUAAACUGAGAGCUGAAUAGAAGGAAUUAAUGAAGUAGAACCAAAGACAGCAACAAUUGAGAGAAGAACUAUUAUGCUGGACUAGAGAGUCAUGGAAGUCCAGUGCCACUAUAAAAGCCAGAGAGAUUGGUGAUGGCCCAGAAUGCAGUGGAUGACUGGACCCUUUGAUGUACAAUCAAGCUGUAAGCACUCCUCUGAGCCUUUUUGCUUCAGCCGCCUUCAUGGCCAUCAGAACAAAUUGUUCUCAUUUAUCCAUUCUUCCAGGCAAAGUCUUCACAUGUUUGGGGCAGACAUCCCGCUAACUCACAGGUCUAUGAGUUUGAAGUCUGUUAUUCACUCUCAACCUGGUUUAGCUUGUCUACUGAGACAGUUUUACCUGGCUGUGGGUGGGGCACUUGCUACAAUACUUUGGAGUUAGAAACAUAUUGGCCUCCAAUAUGAAUGGAUUCCAAUGAGGUUAGGUGACUUGACCAAGUUCAUAUACAUAGUAAAUAAGAAAGUCAAACUUAAUAUCCAGGUCUCACAAUCUAAUGCUCUUUCCACUACACCACAAUCAAGUAAAGAGGCACUAAGGAAUAACUCAGGAGGUAGAACCUGCACUGGGCUUUGAAGAAUAAGGAGAAUUGCAAUGGGUGGAAAUAUGGAAGAAAUCCAUUUACAAAUGGGGAUUGAUCUAUGCAGAGGCAGAGAGGCAAGGGAUUCUGGGACCAGUUCUUCUGAAACAGUGUGCAUGAAGGGAUCAAUAUGAAAAGGCUAGAAACAUGGAUUGGAGCUAGAUUGUGGAGGGUCUUGAGUACUUAACAAAGGAGUUUGUACUUUAAUCUCUAUUCAUCUGGGAUCCAUGUCAAAUGGAAACACAAAUAAAGCAAACAACUUGUCCUGGCAACUCAAGACUUUUAAGAAAUCUAGUAAAAGCAGGGGUGGGGAGAGGGAAGAAAAAAAAAGAAAUUUACAUGAUAAUUGUAUUGUGUAUU